rnacentral:rRNA from 1 species
AGCAGCCGCGGUAAUUCCAGCUCCAAUAGCGUAUAUUAAAGUUGCUGCAGUUAAAAAGCUCGUAGUUGAAUUUCGGGACUAAUAUGUCGGUCGUGCCUCGGUACGUACUGGCUUAUUGGUUUCUCCUUUCUGAAGAACCAUGAUGUCAUUUAUUUGGUGUCGUGGGGAAUCAGGACUGUUACUUUAAAAAAUUAGAGUGUUUAAAGCAGGCUCACGCUUGAAUACAUUAGCAUGGAAUAAUGAAAUAGGACGUUUGAUUCUAUUUUGUUGGUUUCUAGGAUCGACGUAAUGAUUAAUAGGGAUAGUUGGGGGCAUUAGUAUUCAAUUGUCAGAGGUGAAAUUCUUGGAUUUAUUGAAGACUAACUACUGCGAAAGCAUUUGCCAAGGAUGUUUUCAUUAAUCAAGAACGAAAGUUAGGGGAUCGAAGACGAUCAGAUACCGUCGUAGUCUUAACCAUAAACUAUGCCGACUAGGGAUCGGAUGAUGUUAAUUUUUAAUGUACUCAUUCGGCGCCUUAAC